GAUGAACGCUAGCUAUAGGCUUAACACAUGCAAGUCGAGGGGAAACGGCAUUAUGUGCUUGCACAUUUUGGACGUCGACCGGCGCACGGGUGAGUAUCGCGUAUCCAACCUGCCCUUUACUUGGGGAUACCCCGUUGAAAGACGGCCUAAUACCCGAUGUAGUUCAUUGAUGGCAUCAGAUAUGAAUAAAAGAUUUAUCGGUAAAGGAUGGGGAUGCGUCUGAUUAGCUUGUUGGUGAGGUAAAGGCUCACCAAGGCGACGAUCAGUAGGGGUUCUGAGAGGAAGGUCCCCCACAUUGGAACUGAGACACGGUCCAAACUCCUACGGGAGGCAGCAGUGAGGAAUAUUGGUCAAUGGGCGCAAGCCUGAACCAGCCAAGUAGCGUGCAGGAAGACGGCCCUAUGGGUUGUAAACUGCUUUUAUACGAGAAUAAUUUGAUGCACGUGUGCGUUAUUGCAUGUAUCGUAUGAAUAAGGACCGGCUAAUUCCGUGCCAGCAGCCGCGGUAAUACGGAAGGUCCAGGCGUUAUCCGGAUUUAUUGGGUUUAAAGGGAGUGUAGGCGGUUUGUUAAGCGUGUUGUGAAAUUUAGGUGCUCAACAUUUAACUUGCAGCGCGAACUGUCAGACUUGAGUACACGCAACGUAUGCGGAAUUCAUGGUGUAGCGGUGAAAUGCUUAGAUAUCAUGAAGAACUCCGAUUGCGAAGGCAGCAUACGGGAGUGUAACUGACGCUUAAGCUCGAAGGUGCGGGUAUCGAACAGG
rnacentral:rRNA from 1 species